GAUCAUUAUUGAAAUAAACCUGAUAAGUUGCUGCUGGUUCUCUAGGGAACAUGUGCACGCUUGUCAUAUUUAUAUCUCCACCUGUGCACCUCUUGUAGACCUUGGAUAUCUCUCUGAAUGCUUUCAGGUUUGAGGAUUGACUUUAUUGCCUUUCCUUAUAUUUCAAGGCCUAUGUUUUUCAUAUACCCUAAUGUAUGUUAUAGAAUGUAGUCAAUGGGCUUUUAUGCCUAUAAACUCUAUACAACUUUCAGCAACGGAUCUCUUGGCUCUCGCAUCGAUGAAGAACGCAGCGAAAUGCGAUAAGUAAUGUGAAUUGCAGAAUUCAGUGAAUCAUCGAAUCUUUGAACGCACCUUGCGCUCCUUGGUAUUCCGAGGAGCAUGCCUGUUUGAGUGUCAUUAAUAUAUCAAUCUCUUCAGCUUUUGCUUGUUGAGUGUUGGAUGUGGGGGUUCUUUUUGUUGGCCUUUUUUUUUCUUGAGGUCAGCUCCCCUGAAAUGUAUUAGCGGAACAAUUUGCUGACCCGUUCAUUGGUGUGAUAACUAUCUACUCUAUUGACGUGAUGCAAGUUCAGCUUCUAACAGUUCAUUAACUUGAACAAAUUUUUAUUAAUGUGACCUCAAAUCAGGUAGG
rnacentral:rRNA from 1 species